AGAGUUUGAUCAUGGCUCAGAACGAACGCUGGCGGCAGGCCUAACACAUGCAAGUCGAGCGCUCUCUUCGGAGGGAGCGGCGGACGGGUGAGUAACGCGUGGGAAUAUGCCCUUCACUGCGGAAUAGCCUCGGGAAACUGAGAGUAAUACCGCAUACGCCCUUCGGGGGAAAGAUUUAUCGGUGAAGGAUUAGCCCGCGUCUGAUUAGGUAGUUGGUGGGGUAAUGGCCUACCAAGCCUACGAUCAGUAGCUGGUUUUAGAGGAUGAUCAGCCACACUGGGACUGAGACACGGCCCAGACUCCUACGGGAGGCAGCAGUGGGGAAUCUUAGACAAUGGGCGCAAGCCUGAUCUAGCCAUGCCGCGUGAGUGAUGAAGGCCUUAGGGUCGUAAAACUCUUUCGCCAGGGAUGAUAAUGACAGUACCUGGUAAAGAAGCCCCGGCUAACUCCGUGCCAGCAGCCGCGGUAAUACGGAGGGGGCUAGCGUUGUUCGGAAUUACUGGGCGUAAAGCGCGCGUAGGCGGACUAUUAAGUCAGGGGUGAAAUCCCGGGGCUCAACCCCGGAACUGCCUUUGAUACUGGUAGUCUUGAGUUCGAGAGAGGUGAGUGGAAUUCCGAGUGUAGAGGUGAAAUUCGUAGAUAUUCGGAGGAACACCAGUGGCGAAGGCGGCUCACUGGCUCGAUACUGACGCUGAGGUGCGAAAAGUGUGGGGAGCAAACAGGAUUAGAUACCCUAGUAGUCC
rnacentral:rRNA from 1 species